UAUUAUUUACUCCCAUUCCAACUAGGAACCGGGAAAGACCAACCAAAAAAAAAAAGGGAAACCAAAUUAGAUAUUUAUUAACAAGGAUUUGCACGAAACGAGUAAUUAAAGUCCGAAUCGAUUUUGUAAAAGUCUAAUUUUUUCUUUUUUUUUUUUGAUGGAAGAGCUAAGGCGACUGGAGAAGACUCAGAGUGUUGUAUCAGCCAUUACUUCUCACGGUUUGCUUUCUUCUUCUUCCGAUUCAGCUUCUUCUUCUUCUUCUUCUUCUCGCUUCCUCUCCAAUCUCGUCCUUUUCCUGGUACGACCAUGCGACGAUCUCGAUAUUGAUUCGAAACUGGCUCCAAUCUAUUGGCUCUAAUCUAUUGCUGUAAGUGUCAUGGCCAUCGGAAUCUUCCCCAUGUAAUUGUUGUUCUUUUUUGGGGUCUGCAAAAUCCAAUCCUACACUCCAAAACAUCGCCAACACGUGUGAGUUUUGAAUCCAAAUUAGAAGCACAAAAAAAAAAAAAAGAAGCUUUUGACUUUGGACUGGAGCUAACAGACUCACAAAAAACCUGGAACCUCUCUAUCAACUUACCAACCACUGAUGUCAACUACUUAUAGACAAGAAGGCCAAAAAAGAUGUGAAAAAAUCAGAGUUCUAUUAUAUACUAGAUGUGUACCUUCAAAAGACAUAGAUUUGUUUUGCCUCCCGAUUCUCGUCUACCAAGAUUCAGCA